rnacentral:rRNA from 1 species
CCAGGUAGUCAUUAUGCUUGUCUCAAAGAUUAAGCCAUGCAUGUCUAAGUAUAAGCAACUUGUACAGUGAAACUGCGAAUGGCUCAUUAAAUCAGUCAUCGUUUAUUUGAUAAUCCCUUACUACAUGGAUACCUGUGGUAAUUCUAGAGCUAAUACAUGCUUCAAGGAGUGGCUUUCGUCACUCUGCACUUAUUAGAUAAAAAACCAAUGCCCCUUUGGGGCUUCCUGGUGAUUCAUAAUAAUUUAGCGGACCGCAUUCCCUCGAGGAGGCGGUGGAUCAUUCAAAUUUCUGCCCUAUCAACUUUCGAUGGUAGGAUAGUGGCCUACCAUGGUUUCAACGGGUAACGGGGAAUGGGGCGGGGGCGGCGGGCCGGGCGCGGGGCGCGGCGGGCG